CGUGCACGCUGGCGGUAGGCCUAACACAUGCAAGUCGAACGGCAGCACAGUAAGAGCUUGCUCUUACGGGUGGCGAGUGGCGGACGGGUGAGGAAUACAUCGGAAUCUACUUUUUCGUGGGGGAUAACGUAGGGAAACUUACGCUAAUACCGCAUACGACCUACGUGUGAAAGCAGGGGAUCUUCGGAACUUGCGCGAUUGAAUGAGCCGAUGUCGGAUUAGCUAGUUGGCGGGGUAAAGGCCCACCAAGGCGACGAUCCGUAGCUGGUCUGAGAGGAUGAUCAGCAACACUGGAACUGAGAUCAGGACACGACUCUUCCGGGGGGAAGCAGUGGGGAUUAUUGGACAAUGGGGGCAUGCCUGCUCCAGCCAUACCGCGUGGGUGAAGAAGCCCUUGGGGUUGUAAAGCCCUUUUGUUGGGAAAGAAAAGCAGCAGGUUAAUACCCCGCUGUUCUGACGGUACCCAAAGAAUAAGCACCGGCUAACUUCGUG
rnacentral:rRNA from 1 species